rnacentral:lncRNA from 1 species
GCAUAAAAAAUCCUAUAAUCCAACCUGGGCCAUAUAAAGUUUAGCUUUAAGUUGGUAGAAACGAUUAAGUAGUACAUCAGAAGACUUCCAUUUCGGAUCAUUUCAAAGGUAAAAACCCCAACUAUCCCUCUCAAGGAAAAAAAUUGUCAUUUGUGUCUUGACUUGUCAUGUGAAAUCAUAAAUUACAUUGACCGUUUACACAUCUAGCAUCUAAAAGUAGAAUCCAAGAUGAAGUGAUAAUAGCAGAGAUGAAG